AUGAACGCUAGCUACAGGCUUAACACAUGCAAGUCGAGGGGCAGCAUGGUCUUAGCUUGCUAAGACUGAUGGCGACCGGCGCACGGGUGAGUAACACGUAUCCAACCUGCCGUCUACUCUUGGACAGCCUUCUGAAAGGAAGAUUAAUACAAGAUGGCAUCAUGAGUCCGCAUGUUCACAUGAUUAAAGGUAUUCCGGUAGACGAUGGGGAUGCGUUCCAUUAGAUAGUAGGCGGGGUAACGGCCCACCUAGUCUUCGAUGGAUAGGGGUUCUGAGAGGAAGGUCCCCCACAUUGGAGCUGAGACACGGUCCAAACUCCUACGGGAGGCAGCAGUGAGGAAUAUUGGUCAAUGGGCGAGAGCCUGAACCAGCCAAGUAGCGUGAAGGAUGACUGCCCUAUGGGUUGUAAACUUCUUUUAUAAAGGAAUAAAGUCGGGUAUGGAUACCCGUUUGCAUGUACUUUAUGAAUAAGGAUCGGCUAACUCCGUGCCAGCAGCCGCGGUAAUACGGAGGAUCCGAGCGUUAUCCGGAUUUAUUGGGUUUAAAGGGAGCGUAGAUGGAUGUUUAAGUCAGUUGUGAAAGUUUGCGGCUCAACCGUAAAAUUGCAGUUGAUACUGGAUAUCUUGAGUGCAGUUGAGGCAGGCGGAAUUCGUGGUGUAGCGGUGAAAUGCUUAGAUAUCACGAAGAACUCCGAUUGCGAAGGCAGCCUGCUAAGCUGCAACUGACAUUGAGGCUCGAAAGUGUGGGUAUCAAACAGGAUUAGAUACCCUGGUAGUCCACACGGUAAACGAUGAAUACUCGCUGUUUGCGAUAUACUGCAAGCGGCCAAGCGAAAGCGUUAAGUAUUCCACCUGGGGAGUACGCCGGCAACGGUGAAACUCAAAGGAAUUGACGGGGGCCCGCACAAGCGGAGGAACAUGUGGUUUAAUUCGAUGAUACGCGAGGAACCUUACCCGGGCUUAAAUUGCAGAUGAAUUACGGUGAAAGCCGUAAGCCGCAAGGCAUCUGUGAAGGUGCUGCAUGGUUGUCGUCAGCUCGUGCCGUGAGGUGUCGGCUUAAGUGCCAUAACGAGCGCAACCCUUGUUGUCAGUUACUAACAGGUUCCGCUGAGGACUCUGACAAGACUGCCAUCGUAAGAUGUGAGGAAGGUGGGGAUGACGUCAAAUCAGCACGGCCCUUACGUCCGGGGCUACACACGUGUUACAAUGGGGGGUACAGAGGGCCGCUACCACGCGAGUGGAUGCCAAUCCCCAAAACCUCUCUCAGUUCGGACUGGAGUCUGCAACCCGACUCCACGAAGCUGGAUUCGCUAGUAAUCGCGCAUCAGCCACGGCGCGGUGAAUACGUUCCCGGGCCUUGUACACACCGCCCGUCAAGCCAUGGGAGCCGGGGGUACCUGAAGUGCGUAACCGCGAGGAGCGCCCUAGGGUAAAACUGGUGACUGGGGCU
rnacentral:rRNA from 1 species